UAGCAGCUUCACUAAUCAAGUGUAUUUUAGA
rnacentral:piRNA from 1 species